AUACAGAGAAACCCUGUCUCGAAAAAGAAAAGAAAACGAAACAAAAAAAGUUUUCAAUAUAGAUCAUACAAAUCUUUUUUCAGAGAUGGUUUUAGCAACCUUUUUUUUGGUUGCUUUUUGGGUUGUGUUUUCAAUUUUUUGGUAGUGUAGUACCCUGUCUUAACUAUCUCCUGUGUACCCCCACCCCUAAAUUUAAAAAAAAAGGGGGUAACCCAAAGGUUUAAAGGUCUUUUUUUUCUUCUUCUCACAUUGAAUUGUUUCAGUAUCCUUUAUCUUUAAAAAGACUUUAGGGAUAUAGGUAUUUUUGUUUUUUGAGACAUGUUUCUUGUAUAUCCUGACUAGCCUGGAAUUUGCCAUGCAGACCUGGCAAACAACAAAACAUCUGCCAAGACAUCUUGUUGACCCCAUUUCUUCAUUUUACUCAACCACCCUGUUUUGACUCUUUCUCUUGUACCAGUCUAUCAAAUUCCUGAGUGCCUGAUUUACGAGAACAAAUUUCUGAGAAUCACUUUGGACUUUGUACCUCCUUUUAUUUAUUAGUUAACCUCCCCCCCCCCCCUAAUUUUUGGAACAGGGUCUCCUGUGGCCUAGACUGGUUUUGAACUCACUUUUGUAUAGUAUUGAAUUCUUAAUACUCCUGACUCCGGGAUUUAUUUCUUCUCUCCCCUCCCUCUCUCACUCUUUCCCCUUUUCCCCCAUUCCCUCACACUCUCUAUUUUCUCCCAUGCAUGUGUGUGAGCUUAUGGAUACCACAGUGCUUGUAUAGAGAUGAGAGGAAAACUUGGGAGAGUCAGUUUUCUGUUUUCACCAUGUGUUCCCUGGAUUGAACUCAGGUUGUCAGCUUUGGUGGCAAGCUUCUAUAGUGCCUUAGCCAUCUCACUGGCCCUUGAGUCAACCUUCUAAGUGCUGGUUUUACAGAUGUAUAUCACUAUUCCUGGCUUUGAUUUCUCUUUUAUAUUUUUCAUUUUUCUCUCAAUCACAUUGUAUUGUAUUUGUGCUGCUUGCAUGUGCGUGCGUGCAUGCAUGCCUACAUAUAGAGGCCAGAUCUUGAAAGGACCCACCAAGUUCAAUUCCCAGCACUCUGGGAAGUAAGAGCCUCACUGUUUAAUAACAAAUUCAAGAGACUAAUGAGUAUGAAGCAGUUUUUAAUAUAUCAUUCUGCAGAAAGGGACUCCAGAAUACAGAAAAAGCAAAAAUGCCUGGUAUGCUAAAAUGACACAAGACUUUCUGAUUUAUUUGGUUCAAAUUACCUCAUUUUUUUUCUCCCUCAUUUUUAAUGUCUUUCAUACCAUAUCCAAUUUCUUUGGGAUUUUUGCAGGCUUUUGUGCCCUCCUAAACCUGAACUACACAGUAGUUUGCUGCACACAUGGUCUUUUGUUGUUUUUGUCUCCCCCUUUGCAGAUUUGUUCCUGAACCCUUCUUUAACAUUAUAAAAAAUAUUUUGUUAAAUAUAUUUAAUAUUUAUAGAUAUUUAUUAAAUGUAAUUCUUACAAUAUUAAUGUAUCUGCUGUCUUGCUGAUAAGAGAAAGAGAUGCAUAUAUGAUAAACUUUUGAGUGUAUUUACAUAUGAAAGUACUUUUAAAAUCUAAUUUUCUGUAGGGUUCUGUAAUUUCACUUUUCCUUCUUUACAUUCUGUUCCCAGGCUAGGGAGAUAGCUCAGGCUGUAAAGUACUUUAUGGCCUGAGUAUGAUCCUCAGAACCCAUGUUUUUGUUUAGUUUAGUUUUUUUUGUUUUGUUUUUAAAGUAAAAGCCAGGUGAGGUGUGCAUGCUUGUAAUGCCAGUGAUGGGGUGGGGAAGACAAGUAGGUGGUGGGACUCACUAGAAGCCAGCCAUACCAAUUAUUUAUUUGACUCUUUCCAGACUAAUGAGAGAUCUUGUCUCAAAAUAAUGAUGGUGGUGGUGGUGAUAGGUACAUACAGCUUGUGAGGAACAACUCAGAAUGUUGUUCUUAGAUCUCUACCUGUGCAUAGAGAAAGGAGGUAUUUCGUUCUCUUUUGGAAACUCAACUUAAUCCUCUUUUCAUUACAGUUUGUUUGUUUUAACUAUUUUCUUGCCAUCCGUCCAGGUUUGGUAAAUAGACUCUUGUAAAUAUGUGUUUUUUCUUUGAGAAGAAUUUGAAUUGGAGAUCUACUUAUUUUUUGUUUUAUUUUUCUGGGAAGGUGGUGGUGGUGGUGGUGGUUUUUGUUGUUGCCUGAUUAUUGUUUUUGAGCUAUUUUGUUAAAAAAUCGUUUUCUGCCUACUUGUAGCAGCCUUUUUUUGUUUGUGAAUAUAUCUUUAUUUUUGGUUCUAUGCCUGACUUUUUUUGGAGUGCCUUGAACUCUUUCCUCAGCUCAUCCUACUUAAUGCUGGGAUCACUGGUAUAUACUACCCAAGGGCUCUGAGUCCUAUCUUAUCUGGCCUGUUUCCUUAAGUCAGAGCUUCAUCAUGCCUCUGAAACCUAACAAAUUGUGUUUAUGCCCCAGAUUUGAUAUCUUCUCCCCCCCCCCC
rnacentral:lncRNA from 1 species